AAGCAAAAUAAGGGCCCUCAUGGGAAUUCACUGGGAAAGCAAUACAUACAUAAGAGAAUCUUCCAAAUUGGAUCCAUUCUUCCAUUUUUUUUCAAUAAACAAACAAAAAUGAGUGGGGCCCACAAAAUUAUUCUAAUCACUCUCCGUAUAUACACUAUCAUAUUCACUGGAAAAGGGGAUGAUCUUCUUCUCCACGUUGAAUUUUUCCACAACAGUAAGGGGAACACCCUAUACACGCACAAAAUAACACACACACGCACCAAAAAUUGAGAACAAGUGAGAGAGAUUGAGUUGGAGAGAGAGGAGAGGUCGAAAGAGAGAGAGAAUUUGGGAGGAUGAAGACAGCGACACCGCUGAUAAGCUCGUUGGAGAUCCAGCAAUGCUACCACGUUGACCGGAGAACACUGGGAAACCGCCGACCCCCCAGUGUCAUUUCCGGCGACCAUCCAUCGGAAGGUGCCGAAACCCACUGGCGAGCAAUCAAAAUCGGCUCAACCAGUCUUGAUUACGGUGAGACCUACCGGAGAACGACCAAAAAUAGUAACGGAGCGGGCUGAUCAGAGGCUGAUUUGGGGUUCUUCGACACGCGGACUCUGUCUUCUCGAUCGACUGAUAUUUGAAAUAAAAUCAUCAUUGAGGUCCAAUUUUACCCUCUCUCCAUUUAGUUUUUACAUAACUGUGGAGGAGUUGUGUGUUUGGUAUGUUUGAAUCUUGAUUGUGUAUUGGUUGAUAUUGAAUUUGAAUGUUGAAAACUUGGAUUAGUAGUCGAAGAAGUAAUUAAUUAUUUCGAGAA